GCGCCCUUAGCUCAAUUGGAUAGAGUUGCAGACUUCGAAUCUGAAGGUUGGGGGUUCGAGACCCUCAGGGCGCACCA
rnacentral:tRNA from 1 species